rnacentral:lncRNA from 1 species
CACGGCUAAAGAAUUUUAGAAUUAGAGGUAGCAAAACAAGUGCAGUUAUUCUUUAAUAUUGUUUAGCGUCAAUUUCUUAAUGGAAGAUUUGGUUUUCAAACCUCUUAAACUCAAGAAUUUGUUUAGACACGUCACUGGCAGUGAUUUCUACUGAGACAGAUAGACUGUUAACAAUGAAGAAAGAAAAGGAAAGACUUCUACAAACUGUUCAUUGAUGUGUUUCUUCAGAAGGAGCAGCGCACAGACGUCAUUUAUAAGUAAAAGAAUUCUGUUGAGGAACCACAACAGAGGAUGAUGUCACGGCAGCUCCCCAAAUGCGUGCAAUGCAACAAGAUACAGAAAAGCAAGUGCUGUCAGGAGAGUGGGAGAGGGAGAAAGUGCGCGCCUGCUCUCCUCCCCUCAUGCCAGAGCAACAAGUGUAAUGUUAGUCGACGCUGCACUUGUGAUGGGGACAGAGCUUUACGCGGGGACUCCACAGAUUGUGAAAUCCUACCUAUCAUGCGAAGGCUUUGGCCGCGGUUGGUGUGUGUAUGUGUGUGAGGCACACAGGCGGUGUAACAGAGAGCCAAGCUUGGGAGCUUCACCCUAGGGGCGCUGGCCUGUAAAAAGUGGCCCUGU